rnacentral:lncRNA from 10 species
UGGACGGGCUUGUCCCUGACUCGUGCAGCGUCGCCGGGCACUGCCAUGGUAUAGGGUGCCCUCUUCACUGAAUUCCCAGUGGCCCCCCGACGCCCCCGCCCCGACCCACGCGCGCGCGCGCACACACACACACACACACACGCACGCACGCUCUUCCCAAUUCCACCCUCGGAAUCCUUCUUCUCCCCAGGCCCACAAUCCACUGAAAGUUUCAGCUUUCGAAUAACUCCUGGAGAAUGCUAGAUGCUCCAAUGAGACUUCUUCAAGUUAAAGGCUAGCACGCUCAAGUUGAAAACAAGCACGGGCAGAAACGAUCAGGAUUCCCCUUUUCUCUCUUUGAAUAUCUUUCACAGAUUCUCUGCUCCACCCCCACCCCCGACUUAUAUCCUCCGGGGUCUCUUCCUACUUCAGGAUUUCAAAAAUUGCCCAAUGCAUCCCGCGCGCAGGAGCCGCUGACGCUGGAGGAGCCGGGGGCGCAGGGCGGGCUCCGGGCCAUUCCGAGGCGCAGCUCGGCGCUGCGCUGCGCUGCAGCGCGCCGGGCCCGCGGCAGAUGGAGGUCUCCCUUCUCCUCCUUCCUGCAGCUCUUUUUCUAUCACUCUUUCUUUCUCCUCGGCCGAUUCUCCCCGGCACGGCCCCAGGACGCGAAUCGCCAUUCCCUGGGGCAGAAAGCAAAGCCUCCCCCGCCUCUGUCAAUCCAAUUCAUGGCAAAGGAUGGAAAAAAAAAAAUGGACAAGGGGCUGAGAAAUAAGAAGUUGCUAAGUCCCGUCGGAGAGAGAGCCAGACCGAGAGACUAGCGGCAGCCGCAGAAGGGAGGGAGGGAGAAGGAGCGAACCUUACUAAAAAGUCAAUAUUCCUACCCAACUGGAUCAAGAUUGUAGAACACAAGGAUGCAUCCUUAACCUUAUAAAAAUGCCUUGGAAUUUUUAAUGAGCAGAAGUGGUCAGAACCUCAGUCAUACGUCUCAUCCAAUAGAUGGUUCUCCUGUAGCUCAGUGCUCCAUAACCCAGGCUGAAGUUGGCUCAGCACCACCCUGGGAUGGAAGAGGGCCACCUACUGAAUCACCGCCACCACAUCCUGCAGCAUCCUCCAUCCAAGUCUUUCCUGGGCCCACCCCUGCUGAACUCCCAAGGUCAGAAGAGAUCACAGCUUUAGAGCAUUUCAUUACAAAUUUUAAAUUUCCAGUCUCUGGUUUUCAUAUUGCAUUUCAAGAUCAACAUCCUUAUUAGUAGUCGUAUAUUUUUUAUUUUGAAAUUUUAUAACACCUUGUCCACUGGGAAAUUCCAAGCAGGCUACUGAACCUCGUUACCACACAGGCAGAAAUCCGCAUAACACCCCUGUGAAGGAGGUGUUAAAUGACAGAGAGAGAGAGGGAGCGCACACCAUCACCUACUCUUACAAAAGUCCAAUCCUUAAUAAUUAAUGAAUGAAAAGACAUCUUGAGUCCAGUGGUCACUGGGAGUAAUUGGCGUAUAUUUUCUCAGCUGCCUCUAAAUGAAAAUGGCAAUAAUUUAACCAAUAUAUUUGGGCCGACAGCUAGGCUAAAUUCAGUUCUCUUUUGCACCCAAGCAGUAGAACUAAGUGGGAUCUGAACAGACUACUCUCUGUUACCACCUGAUUGUGGAAAACUCACAUGUGGUGCUCAGCAACUGAGUAUUUCAAGUCCUGCUCACAUUUACAAUGUCUUUUUCUAUCCUCGGUUAAAAGGUCCUGAAAAUUGGGAGGACACAAGGUUACAUUUGUUUUAUACCUUUUCUCUGUCCUCAAUCCUUCCUUAUGUAAAAACUUCUGGUGUUUAAAUGAUAAUAUAAGAGGUUACUUCGAGUGAUAAAAUCAAGAGUCCAGCUAUCAAGAUGAAAUUACAUAACAUAAAUGUAUAGUUCAUAGUAUAGAUUGGUGGUUAUCAGCCUCAUAUUGAAUGCCUCCUUUUAUAACAAAUAUUUUAUAAUAUCACUGUAGCAGAUGCUAUCGGUUCCCUUCCUGUAUUCCCUAGGCCAUACACACCAGUGACAUCCUAUUUCUGGUCUCUGCUCAGGGCCUUCUGGCUGCUGAGAGUACUUGGCUCACACACAUUGUGGCAGUCCAGAAGAUGAUAGAUAGCCUGACAGAAUAUAAAAUGACCUCAUACAGCUUCAGACAAUUGGGAGGAGAGGGUGCUUGGGGCAGAUCUUUCACCUAGGAACACAGCGUUUCACUAUACCCAAAACUUUGGAUGUUGCCUAAACAUAUUGGGCAUCACGUGCCAGUAGACUAGCAAGCAAAGGAGUUACUAUACUGAUUUUCAUGACCAGAUAGGGUUACUGCUGCACAAUCAAGAUAGGGAAAAUAUGACUGAAACUCAGAUAAUUCAUGGAGGUGCCCUACUGUGGUUUGGAUCUAUGUCCCCACCCAAAUCUCAUGUCAAACUGUAAUCAUCAGUGUUGGAGAUGGGGCCUGGUGGGACGUGAUGGAUCAUGGGGUCAGAUCCUUCAUAAAUAGUUUAUCACCAUCUGUUCUCCUGAUAGAGUUCUCAUGAGAUCUGGUUACUUAAACGUGUGUAGCACCUCCCCUCACUCUGUCUUGCUCCUGCUUCCACCGUGUGAGAUGCCUCACUCCCCCUGUGCCUUCUGCCAUGAUUGGAAGCUUCCUAAGGCCUCCCCAGAAGUAAAAGCUGCUCUGCUUCUUGUACAGUCUGCAAAACCAUGAGCCAAUUAAACCUCUCUUCUUUAUAAAUGUCCCAGUCCCAAGUAUUUCUUUAAAGCAAUGUGAGGACAGACUAAUACAUACCCCUUGGUGCUUCCAUCCCAAGGAAUAAUCUGAUAAGAACAGGGCAAGUUAGAAUCCAGAGGUUUCAUGGAUCUAGGUCUGUGUUACCCAACUAGGCCAAUGACUUAGGCCAAUAGAAGUCCUGGCUGAGAGUAAAGGUGAAGAGACUCUAGAGUGGGGGCAGAAGAGGAAGCUGAGAAAUAUCACCUAUAGGCGAUAUUUCUAUUUGUCUUAGAAAUUGUGUGUGUGUGUGUGUGUGCGUGUGAGUGUGUGUGUGUGUGAAGUGGGUGGGGACUGGGUAUCCCUUUGUAGAAUGAGUAACAGAGCAGAUUAACUUAAAGCAGGGCGUGAAUGGAUCUGGAUGAUCCAGCAGGUGGACUGUAGCGGAUGACGGUAGUGCUCCCAUCAUCAGCCCUCACUUUCCCUGUAAAUGCCUACAACCCUUUCUGCAAACACUUGUGCCUCCUUGUCUACAGGGAGCUUCUAAGGAAGCUCCCAGACCCCAGUAAUGCAAAGUAAAGUGACAUAGUGCUUAUGUAAGUCUGGAACAGCUUUUACUUUAAAAACUGUGCUCCUUGUCUUGUGCAUAAGAACACUGUACACUUGUAUACCUCUCUGUGUGCUUCAGAACCUCUCUGUGACCCAUCAGUCUACACAACACUGCAUAUCCCAGUCUCCAACCAGUGGUUUUUGGCUCCUUCCUCACUGGAGUGCUCCAUUCAAUAAAAUGUCUUAUCUACUGUCU